GCAUGGGUUUCCGGUUAGUGUUUGUGCGCUGCCGUAAGGGCGACGUUUAGACUGGUGUGGGCAAGUGUCUAGUGUCAGUUUGGACCAACGUAAGCGGAGGUAUUUGCGAGGCUUGUGGGCCAAAGGUAGGAGAUGAAUAAUUUUGGGUGUCGCUAUCUGUUGUAAAGCAGCCUAUUAAUUCCUGCAUGCUUCGUAGGUAUCGAGGACGGGCGGUUGGAGUGGUGUGUGGGGAGAGUGAAUCUGGUCUCCGGAUUGGGCUGUGCUGCCCUGCCGCUGUACCUCGUGGCUUUACCCUGCUGCUUGACGGAUGCCCUGCUCUGCUGGGUAGCUGCUGUCCUGUUCUGCUGUGUAGCUGCUGUCCUGUUCUGUUGUGUAGCUGCUGUUUGGUGGCUAUUUGGUCUUGUUUUCUGUUACGUUUUGUCUGGUUGCUUCGCUCCUACCGUCUUGCUAUUGUUCCGCCCUGCUGCUUUGCCUUGGUUUGUCUUAUACUUUUCAUUUGGUCCAGGGGUUUUAUUUGAUAUUUGUGGGUUUUUUUAUGUUUGGGUUAUUUUAUGGAUGUAUUUUGGGAUAAUUAAGGAUUGUUUCUUGGUUUUGUUUGAUGUAUAAAUUUAUGGAGUUUGUUUGUGUUUGUUUGGAUGUUUUUUCUGCUUUGAUUCGGAUUGUUUUCUGUGGUUCUGGGCUGGGGGUGGCCGUAUACGCUGUGGGGCGGAAGCCUUGGGUAUAAGAGGCCGCUCGGGUUUGUGUGUGAUUCAUGCGGUGUGGGUUUUGUUUUAGGUUUGGGGUAAUGUCGUGAUUUGUUAGUGCUAGCGGCCGGGUAGUACCUUUGAACGCGUGGUUGUGUCCCCUUCUAGCGCAUAUUGCCUCCCUGCCUGGGGGAUUUACGAGGAAUCAAGACUCCGCAGCGUGUUUUAUCUGUGUUACGUUUAUUCCUGUAUUGUUAAGGUUGUUUUAUCUUUGCUGUGGUGUGAAUAAAAGUGUGUGUUUUUA